AAGAUGAGUACCGCUUCAGGGUUCCUGGUGUAGCAGUGCAGUUCCAGCAAGCAUGUCAGAAGUCUUGCUAGUGUGGUACUGGUGGGAUCAGGCUUUGAUGGUGGCAUCUGCAGUGGCCAGAAGGUCAUGACAGCUGGAUCUUAGACAGACAUUCUGAGUCAUGAGGAGGAAGCCAAGUUCUGAGGAUGGUGGAGCAGGAAGAUAGAAGUUGGAACCCCAAUGACCUUGUGAACUAUUCUACUGACUGUGAACUGCCAACUCCGCACUUUUUUACAUGAGCAAGAAAUAAACCUCUUUCUUGUUUAAGCCAUUCUUAUUUUAGUGUCUCUGGUACUUACUGUAACACUGAAAUCCAGCGGGUUUAGAGAUCAUCCACAGAAAUGGCGUGGGUGAAGGAGAGGAGGGUCAUUCAGGAAGAGUAAGCCUGAAGUCCACGACUGAGCCCUGCGAGAGUGCUCACAUUUAUAGAAGAGACACCAUCAAAAGAAACAGAAGAGACCAAGCAGUAAGAGUGCAAGAGAGGCACCAAUAGUGGGCCAUAUCACAGAGAGGAGAAAGAGUCUCAAGGAGGAGAUUGCCACUGAUGUCUAAUGAUUCAGCGUUCAACGGGAUAAAGACUGAAAAUGGCCCUGGGU
rnacentral:lncRNA from 10 species